ensembl:lncRNA
AGAAAAGCUGCUAAAAUCAUAAAACUUUGCAGAAUUGUAAUAAAUGAUGAAUAUGAAUUACUUGUCUGUGAUAGUGUAUUAAUUUCUAGGGAAAAAAAAAAUGUUGACCAAGGUGGAAUUGAACCCGUGAUCUUUAGGCUGCCGACCGGCGUCAUUACCAACUGUGCCACUGGGAAAGAGAGCAGCGAUUUGGAAAACGGGGAGAUGAACUGUCAGAUUUAGAUCGCGGUGAGAGGCGUAAAACGCCGAUUUUUGGAGUUACAAAACGUCAUGUAACUCCAAAACUAGGUGGGAUAGAAGCACAAUUCUUGUACUGGGCGAAUCAGCAGACUUUGCUGAACUUUCACUGCGAUUUUCAUUGCUCCUUUUACCUCCGUCACGGAGAUAUGAUGAGAGAAGAAACGGCUUCAUUUUCAGAGUUUGAAAAGUGAGAGGAGGACAGAUUUCCACCCCUCAAACAAACGUAAUUUAUGGCUUAACAGUAAGAUGACUGUAAAAACUGCUCUAUGAUUUACAUGAAAUACUUUGAUUUAGAAGAAAUUCUAUAAUCUAGCAAAAAGCACUACAGCAUAGCAGAAG